rnacentral:sRNA from 1 species
GACAGGCGUGGUGGUGCACGCCUGUAAUCCCAGCAGCUUCAGAGGCUGAGACAGGAGGAUCGUGAGUUCGAAGCCAGCCUCAGCAAUAGUGAGGUGCUAAGCAACUAGGUGAGACCCUGUCUCUA